CCCUUAGAUGUUCUGGGCCGCAUGCGUGCUACACUGAGUGGAUCAGCGGGUCAGGUUGCGCGAAAGUGUUUCCUAAUCUUGAAAUCCGCUCGUGAUGGGGAUUGACGGUUGCAAUUUUCCGUCAUGAACGAGGAAUACCUUGUAAGCGCGGGUCAUCAUCCCGCGCUGAAUACGUCCCUGCCCUUUGUACACACCGCCCGUCGCUCCUACCGAUUGAGUGGUCCGGUGAGGCUUUGGGAUCUGAGCGGAAAGAGCGUUUCGCUGUUUCUGCUCGGAAAACUCAGUCGAACCUUAUCAUUUAGAGGAAGGAGAAGUCGUAACA
rnacentral:rRNA from 1 species